rnacentral:misc_RNA from 1 species
AAAGUCGUAACAAGGUUUCCGUAGGUGAACCUGCGGAAGGAUCAUUACCGAGCUCGCGCCCACCCGGGCCGACCUCCCCCCCGUGUGUAUUCUUACCCUGUUGCUUUGGCGAGCCGCCCCCCCUGAGGGGCCUUGCGCGCUCGUCGAAGGCCCUCAAAACCCUGUUCGUCAGUGUCGUCUGAGCGUGAUAUAAUAGUUAAAACUUUCAACAACGGAUCUCUUGGUUCUG